rnacentral:rRNA from 1 species
UAUCUCUGUAGAGUCUGCAUAUCAAUAAGCGGAGGAAAAGAAACUAACUAGGAUUCCCUCAGUAACGGCGAGUGAAGCGGGAAGAGCUCAAAUUUGAAGUCUUCAAGGUUCUACCUUGACGAAUUGUAGUUUAAAGAAGUGUUUUCUGUUGGAGUUUUGGUAAAAGUUCUUUGGAAUAGGACAUCAUAGAGGGUGAGAAUCCCGUAUUUGACCAUUAUUUCCAGCUUUGUGAUACACUUUCAAAGAGUCGGAUUGUUUGGGAAGUGCAGUCCAAAAUGGGUGGUAAAUUUCAUCUAAAGCUAAAUACUGGCGAGAGACCGAUAGCGAACAAGUACCGUGAGGGAAAGAUGAAAAGAACUUUGAAAAGAGAGUUAAACAGUACGUGAAAUUGUCAAAAGGGAAGCGUUUGACACCAGUGUUGUUUUCUCGAAAAUCAAUUAAAAAAGGCAGGAUUUUGUGUUGUAUUGACUUUAUCAGCUUUCUGCACUCUUUUCUUGUCUUUUUUAAUGCACUUUUCGUUUAACAAGUCAACAUCAAUUUCUUUUGUUGUAAAAGGGUCAUUGGAAGGUGGCUUUCUUUUCGGAGAAAGUGUUUAUAGCCUUUGGCCUCUGCAAUCGGAGAGAUUGAGGUCUGCAGCGUAGAUCCUUCGGGGUUAGAUACAUUUGUGCUAAGUUAUAGCCUUUCAUAGACAACUUGUUGACUAUGAUCAGUCAUGUAGCUUACUCGCUUAUGCUAUUUUACCUACGCUUAGGAUGUUGAAGAUGUAGCACAUCAU